AUACGGAGGGUGCAAGCGUUAAUCGGAAUUACUGGGCGUAAAGGGCGCGUAGGCGGUCUAUCAAGUCAGGUGUGAAAUCCCACGGCUCAACCGUGGAGGUGCAUCUGAAACUGAUAGACUUGAGUAUGGGAGAGGGAAGUGGAAUUCCCGGUGUAGAGGUGAAAUUCGUAGAUAUCGGGAGGAACACCAGUGGCGAAGGCGACUUUCUGGACCAAUACUGACGCUGAGGCGCGAAAGCGUGGGGAGCAAACAGGAUUAGAAACCCUUGUAGUCC
rnacentral:rRNA from 1 species